GACGAACGCUGGCGGCGUGCCUAACACAUGCAAGUCAACUUGACUGAAGGAGCAAUCUGACAGUAGAGUGGCGCAAGGGUGCGUAACGCGUAAGUAACUUGCCCAAGGUAAGGAAUAACGUCGAGAAAUCGGCGCUAAUACCUCAUAAUGCAGCGGAUCCGCAUGGAUAUGUUGUUAAAGGUUUACCGCCUUGGGAUAGGCUUGCGUCUGAUUAGCUAGUUGGUGUGGUAACGGCACACCAAGGCUACGAUCAGUAACUGGUCUGAGAGGAUGAUCAGUCACACUGGAACUGAGACACGGUCCAGACUCCUACGGGAGGCAGCAGUGAGGAAUAUUGGGCAAUGCUCGAAAGAGUGACCCAGCAACGCCGCGUGGAGGAUGAAGGUAUUCUAUAUCGUAAACUCCUGUGAGAGCAGACGAAAGACAGAUUAUUAAUCUGGAUGACUGUAUGCUCAGAGGAAGCCCC
rnacentral:rRNA from 1 species